rnacentral:rRNA from 1 species
UACGAAGGGGGCUAGCGUUGUUCGGAAUUACUGGGCGUAAAGCGCACGUAGGCGGGUCGUUAAGUCAGGGGUGAAAUCCUGGAGCUCAACUCCAGAACUGCCCUUGAUACUGAGGAGCUCGAGUCCGGAAGAGGUGAGUGGAACUGCGAGUGUAGAGGUGAAAUUCGUAGAUAUUCGCAAGAACACCAGUGGCGAAGGCGGCUCACUGGUCCGGUACUGACGCUGAGGUGCGAAAGCGUGGGGAGCAAACAGG